rnacentral:rRNA from 1 species
GACGAACGCUGGCGGCGUGCUUAACACAUGCAAGUCGAACGGGCCUUGUCCCCUUUUUUUUUGGGGGUGGGGUUAGUGGCGAACGGGUGAGUAACACGUGAGUAACCUGCCCCUCACUUCUGGAUAACCGCUUGAAAGGGUGGCUAAUACGGGGUGUUCUGGCCUGCUCGCAUGGGUGGGUUUGGAAAGAUUCGACCGGUUUUGGUUGUUUUGGUGGGGGAUGGGCUCGCGGCCUAUCAGCUUGUUGGUGGGGGGAUGGCCUGCCAAGGGUUUGACGGGUAGCCGGCCUGAGAGGGUGGGCGGUCACACUGGGACUGAGACACGGCCCAGACUCCUACGGGAGGCAGCAGUGGGGAAUAUUGCACAAUGGGCGCAAGCCUGAUGCAGCGACGCCGCGUGAGGGAUGGAGGCCUUCGGGUUGUGAACCUCUUUCGCCAGUGAAGAAGGUCCUGCUCUUUGUGGUGGGGUUGACGGUAGCUGGGUUAAUGAAGCGCCGGCUAACUACGUG